rnacentral:rRNA from 1 species
GUCCACGCCCUAAACGAUGCCUGUUUGCUGUUUCGAGUAUCGACCCUCGGAGUGGCGUAGCUAACGCGUUAAACAGGCCGCCUGGGAAGUACGGCCGCAAGGCUAAAACUCAAAGGAAUAGACGGGGACUCGCACAAGCGGUGGAACAUGAGGUUUAAUUCGAUAGUAAGCGAGGAACCUUACCAAGGUUUGAAAUUCUUUCUGACCGGCGGCGGAAACGUUGCCUUUCUCACAAGGACAGAAAGUCCAGGUGCUGCAUGGUUGUCGU